rnacentral:rRNA from 1 species
GACGAACGCUGGCGGCGUGCUUAACACAUGCAAGUCGAGCGGUAAGGCCCUUUCGGGGGUACACGAGCGGCGAACGGGUGAGUAACACGUGGGCGACCUACCCUCAGCUUCGGGAUAAGCCUGGGAAACUGGGUCUAAUACCGGAUAUGACCUUCCCUCGCAUGGGGGUUGGUGGAAAGUUUUUUCGGCUGGGGAUGGGCCCGCGGCCUAUCAGCUUGUUGGUGGGGUGAUGGCCUACCAAGGCGACGACGGGAGCCGGCCUGAGAGGGCGACCGGCCACACUGGGACUGAGAUACGGCCCAGACUCCUACGGGAGGCAGCAGUGGGGAAUAUUGCGCAAUGGGCGGAAGCCUGACGCAGCGACGCCGCGUGGGGAUGACGGCU